rnacentral:rRNA from 1 species
UACGUAGGGUGCAAGCGUUGUCCGGAAUUAUUGGGCGUAAAGAGCUCGUAGGCGGUCUGUCGCGUCUGCUGUGAAAACUCGGGGCUUAACCCCGGGCCUGCAGUGGGUACGGGCAGACUAGAGUGCGGUAGGGGGAGACUGGAAUUCCUGGUGUAGCGGUGAAAUGCGCAGAUAUCAGGAGGAACACCCGUAGCGAAGGCGGCACUCUGGGCCGAUUCUGACACUGAGGAGCGAAAGCGUGGGGAGCGAACAGG